rnacentral:rRNA from 1 species
GGGUUGUGAGGUUAAGCGACUAAGCGUACACGGUGGAUGCCCUGGCAGUCAGAGGCGAUGAAGGACGUGCUAAUCUGCGAUAAGCGUCGGUAAGGUGAUAUGAACCGUUAUAACCGGCGAUUUCCGAAUGGGGAAACCCAGUGUGAUUCGUCACACUAUCAUUAACUGAAUCCAUAGGUUAAUGAGGCGAACCGGGGGAACUGAAACAUCUAAGUACCCCGAGGAAAAGAAAUCAACCGAGAUUCCCCCAGUAGCGGCGAGCGAACGGGGAGCAGCCCAGAGCCUGAAUCAGUGUGUGUGUUAGUGGAAGCGUCUGGAAAGGCGUGCGAUACAGGGUGACAGCCCCGUACACAAAAAUGCACAUACUGUGAGCUCGAUGAGUAGGGCGGGACACGUGGUAUCCUGUCUGAAUAUGGGGGGACCAUCCUCCAAGGCUAAAUACUCCUGACUGACCGAUAGUGAACCAGUACCGUGAGGGAAAGGCGAAAAGAACCCCGGCGAGGGGAGUGAAAAAGAACCUGAAACCGUGUACGUACAAGCAGUGGGAGCACGCUUAGGCGUGUGACUGCGUACCUUUUGUAUAAUGGGUCAGCGACUUAUAUUCUGUAGCAAGGUUAACCGAAUAGGGGAGCCGAAGGGAAACCGAGUCUUAACUGGGCGUUAAGUUGCAGGGUAUAGACCCGAAACCCGGUGAUCUAGCCAUGGGCAGGUUGAAGGUUGGGUAACACUAACUGGAGGACCGAACCGACUAAUGUUGAAAAAUUAGCGGAUGACUUGUGGCUGGGGGUGAAAGGCCAAUCAAACCGGGAGAUAGCUGGUUCUCCCCGAAAGCUAUUUAGGUAGCGCCUCGUGAAUUCAUCUCCGGGGGUAGAGCACUGUUUCGGCAAGGGGGUCAUCCCGACUUACCAACCCGAUGCAAACUGCGAAUACCGGAGAAUGUUAUCACGGGAGACACACGGCGGGUGCUAACGUCCGUCGUGAAGAGGGAAACAACCCAGACCGCCAGCUAAGGUCCCAAAGUCAUGGUUAAGUGGGAAACGAUGUGGGAAGGCCCAGACAGCCAGGAUGUUGGCUUAGAAGCAGCCAUCAUUUAAAGAAAGCGUAAUAGCUCACUGGUCGAGUCGGCCUGCGCGGAAGAUGUAACGGGGCUAAACCAUGCACCGAAGCUGCGGCAGCGACGCUUAUGCGUUGUUGGGUAGGGGAGCGUUCUGUAAGCCUGCGAAGGUGUGCUGUGAGGCAUGCUGGAGGUAUCAGAAGUGCGAAUGCUGACAUAAGUAACGAUAAAGCGGGUGAAAAGCCCGCUCGCCGGAAGACCAAGGGUUCCUGUCCAACGUUAAUCGGGGCAGGGUGAGUCGACCCCUAAGGCGAGGCCGAAAGGCGUAGUCGAUGGGAAACAGGUUAAUAUUCCUGUACUUGGUGUUACUGCGAAGGGGGGACGGAGAAGGCUAUGUUGGCCGGGCGACGGUUGUCCCGGUUUAAGCGUGUAGGCUGGUUUUCCAGGCAAAUCCGGAAAAUCAAGGCUGAGGCGUGAUGACGAGGCACUACGGUGCUGAAGCAACAAAUGCCCUGCUUCCAGGAAAAGCCUCUAAGCAUCAGGUAACAUCAAAUCGUACCCCAAACCGACACAGGUGGUCAGGUAGAGAAUACCAAGGCGCUUGAGAGAACUCGGGUGAAGGAACUAGGCAAAAUGGUGCCGUAACUUCGGGAGAAGGCACGCUGAUAUGUAGGUGAAGCGACUUGCUCGUGGAGCUGAAAUCAGUCGAAGAUACCAGCUGGCUGCAACUGUUUAUUAAAAACACAGCACUGUGCAAACACGAAAGUGGACGUAUACGGUGUGACGCCUGCCCGGUGCCGGAAGGUUAAUUGAUGGGGUCAGCGCAAGCGAAGCUCUUGAUCGAAGCCCCGGUAAACGGCGGCCGUAACUAUAACGGUCCUAAGGUAGCGAAAUUCCUUGUCGGGUAAGUUCCGACCUGCACGAAUGGCGUAAUGAUGGCCAGGCUGUCUCCACCCGAGACUCAGUGAAAUUGAACUCGCUGUGAAGAUGCAGUGUACCCGCGGCAAGACGGAAAGACCCCGUGAACCUUUACUAUAGCUUGACACUGAACAUUGAGCCUUGAUGUGUAGGAUAGGUGGGAGGCUUUGAAGUGUGGACGCCAGUCUGCAUGGAGCCGACCUUGAAAUACCACCCUUUAAUGUUUGAUGUUCUAACGUGGACCCGUAAUCCGGGUUGCGGACAGUGUCUGGUGGGUAGUUUGACUGGGGCGGUCUCCUCCUAAAGAGUAACGGAGGAGCACGAAGGUUGGCUAAUCCUGGUCGGACAUCAGGAGGUUAGUGCAAUGGCAUAAGCCAGCUUGACUGCGAGCGUGACGGCGCGAGCAGGUGCGAAAGCAGGUCAUAGUGAUCCGGUGGUUCUGAAUGGAAGGGCCAUCGCUCAACGGAUAAAAGGUACUCCGGGGAUAACAGGCUGAUACCGCCCAAGAGUUCAUAUCGACGGCGGUGUUUGGCACCUCGAUGUCGGCUCAUCACAUCCUGGGGCUGAAGUAGGUCCCAAGGGUAUGGCUGUUCGCCAUUUAAAGUGGUACGCGAGCUGGGUUUAGAACGUCGUGAGACAGUUCGGUCCCUAUCUGCCGUGGGCGCUGGAGAACUGAGGGGGGCUGCUCCUAGUACGAGAGGACCGGAGUGGACGCAUCACUGGUGUUCGGGUUGUCAUGCCAAUGGCACUGCCCGGUAGCUAAAUGCGGAAGAGAUAAGUGCUGAAAGCAUCUAAGCACGAAACUUGCCCCGAGAUGAGUUCUCCCUGACUCCUUGAGAGUCCUGAAGGAACGUUGAAGACGACGACGUUGAUAGGCCGGGUGUGUAAGCGCAGCGAUGCGUUGAGCUAACCGGUACUAAUGAACCGUGAGGCUUAACCUUACAACGCCGAAGGUGUUU